ensembl:lncRNA
CUCUUACUUAAUUAUUCUGUUCUUGAAUCAUAUUAUCCCUGGACAAUCUAAGGCUCAGUAUACAAUAUCUCUCAGUAAGUACUCAGAGAAAACUCAUUAGGCAUAAAGGGGUUGGGAAAUCGAUGGAAAUUAUAUAAAUAAAUUCUAUUUAACCUAUUGAACCAAGAGAGACAACUAUUUAUUCAAAAGAAAAAUGGGCCAGCCAGAACCGUCUCUGUACGUACUAAUCCCCACAACCCUUAUUUCACAAGAACAAUUAAAUAACAUCUUGGAAAGAAUCUUGAUUUCAGGCUCUUAUCAGCUUGAGCCAGCUGAUAGAGAAAGUGGGGCUUAGGGGUGAACUCUUGAACCGGGAAAGAACUCCUGCAAAGUUUCUGUCAGGUGAUAGGACCUGAAAAGGUGUUUCCAUUCCUUGGAUUAUCUUUAUGACUGACAAAUGAUUGCCUCUUAUUUGCUCUGUAUGCUUGGAAACUAGUUAUAUUGUUGAGACUGUCACAAACAAGAGAUUUCCUUCUUAGGGGAAAAAAAGUUGAUCUCCCCGGUAUAAGGUUUAAUUAAAGGAAGAAAAGUUUAGAUUAUCAGCUAUGUUUUUCCUGUUCCCCCCUCCUUUUGCCUAACUUCCAGAGAGUUUAGGAUCCUCUUUAACAAGUAGAAGGUCUUCUGAGGGCCACAUGGUGGGGAAUGCCUUUAAUCCCAGCACUUGGGAGGCAGAGGCAGGAAUAUCUCCAUGAGGUUAGCUCAAUUCCUGAUCUACAGAGUUCCAGAUCAGCCAGGGCUACAUAGUGGGACCCUGUUGAAGAAGGUGGAAAGAAACACAGAGGGAUACUCCCUGAGCCAAGACACACCGGGGGCGGGGGGGAGGCCUAGAUGAGAAAGUAUCCCUCUAUGUGGAAUGAGCUCCCAAAGUCCAUUCCUAUACUAGGGAUAGUACUGAUCUACUAUAAGAGGUCCCAUAGAUUUCUGAGGCCUCCUCACUGACACCCACAUUCAUGAGGUCUGAAUCAGUUCCAUGCUGUUUUCCCAGCUAUCAGUCUGAGGACCAAGAGCUCCCCCUUGUUCAGAAUCUUUUUUAACAUUUGAAAUUACCUGAGUUCAAGUAAUUUGAAAAGAUAUAUCAUCUUAGUCAGAAAACCUAGAUACUCCUGGUUUUUGGUUGAGUUCCUUGCUCAUUUUAAACUUUCUCAUUGAUGGUUGUUUUAUUUCUUAGACAUUGACCUACCAAUAAAUAAACCCCUCCAUCUGAGCUAUGGAACGCCUUACUGAACAGCACACAUCGCUGCUUUGUCCUACCAAGUGCAUAUUAUGGUCCAAAAGAAGUUCACUAAGAAACGAAAGAUGUCAUGUGGAACUCGUCCCUAGAUGCCCAAAGACCAUUUCAUGCUACCAAUCUCUGGCAGUAUUUGGAGACUAUAAUAUCCAGUUGGUCAUCUGCUACAAACAGCAGGUGCAGCUGGAAGACUGGGUGGAGGAUGUCAGAGCAGGAGAAAGCCGUGUUAUGUCAUCCUCCCAAGGCCCUUAAUGUGGAAGGAACAGUCUUUCUCUCUCUCUCUCUCUCUCUCUCUCUCUCUCUCUCUCUCUCUCUCUCUCUCUCUCUCUCUCACACACACACACACACACACACACACACACACGUUGUAAUCCCCACUACAACAAGGACGUGGGGUGUGGGAAAGGAAGUCCAGCAAGCACGAAUUUGAAAGCUAGAUUUACAAGGUAAGAGAUCUGAGAGCUUCAAGUGGGGAGGGUUUCCAGCAUUUCAGAGAAAUCUGUUUUGUUUGUUUUUAGUCUAGACUGAGAGUACAAAUGCCUAGGAAAUAUGCUUGAGGCCAGAAGAUAUCCCACGGUUGUUUUCUUCUUCCAUGUAGAGCCCUGGGUUAUGUGUACAUGGCAGUGCUUACACCCAAGAGUUCACGUGGCUACAAUGGUGCCUCUCAUGCUUUCUGUGUCCAAUCAGCAAUCUAGGCGAUUGCCACUACUUUCGGUGAAUGUCCUUUCUCAUCCUCCAUACUACUGGUUGCCAUUUAGCUGCUGGCAGUCUCUGAACUAUUUCCAGUAUUACUUUCUGGAGAGCAAGUUUGACCACAGGCUUACUUACCCUGCUGAAAUUGCUUAGUGGCUUCUGAUAAACAUUCAGCUGAAAUGUAGGCUUAUUCUUGUAUGGGUUCUGACUUUCUAAAAUCAUUAUCUUGAUUCAGAUCCUGUCUUUGAAGAACAAAUCACAUCAUC